AUUGAACGCUGGCGGCAUGCCUUACACAUGCAAGUCGAACGGCAGCGCGGGAGCAAUCCUGGCGGCGAGUGGCGAACGGGUGAGUAAUAUAUCGGAACGUGCCCAGUAGCGGGGGAUAACGCAGCGAAAGCUGUGCUAAUACCGCAUACGCACUACGGUGGAAUGAGGGGGAUCGCAAGCUCUCUUACUAUUCGAGCGGCUGAUAUCAGAUUAGCUUGUGGGCGGGGUAAAAGCCCACCAAGGCGACGAUCUGUAGCUGGUUUGAGAGAACGACCAGCCACACUGGGACUGAGACACGGCCCAGACUCCUACGGGAGGCAGCAGGGGGGAAUUUUGGACAAUGGGCGCAAGCCUGAUCCAGCCAUGCCGCGUGCGGGAAGAAGGCCUUCGGGUUGUAAACCGCUUUUGUUCGGGAAGAAAUUGACUGGGCUAAUACCCUGGUCGGAUGACGGUACCGGAAGAAAAAGCACCGGCUAACUACGUGCCAGCAGCCGCCGUAA
rnacentral:rRNA from 1 species